UUAGAAAUCCUCACCACCCCAUAAAACUACAAGCAUUAGGAUGAGCCAAAUAGAACCACUGCAAUAACAAGCAAAACAAGCACUAUACGUCUAUCAAUGAGCUUAUGGUGCAAGUUAUUGGAAUUUGGCAUCAUCACUGUCCUUAACCCUAACAUUAAUAGAUAAGGAGAUGCUGAAUAAGUCAUAAUGACCAUACAAAUCAAAGAAAUCUUGUGGAUAGGAAUGAGGCUAAUUAUAAUGAGUAAAAUCCACACGAAAUGUGAAAAUUUCAGUGCAAAUUGGCCUAGCUUUCUCCUCAUUCGAAGACUUGAAUCCUUCGGUUCAUCGGCCGCCAGCUGAACCGUAUCGGUGGAUGUUACUGCAGUGCUCAGCCUUAGACCAUCUCCAUAACUAGCCAUUUGUUAAAG
rnacentral:misc_RNA from 1 species